rnacentral:rRNA from 1 species
GUCGAACGCUGGCGGCGCGCUUAACACAUGCAAGUCGAACGGAAAGGCCUGCUUUCCCUUGUGGAUUGCGGGUACUCGAGUGGCGAACGGGUGAGUAACACGUGAGUGAUCUGCCCCCAACUUGGGUAUAAGCCUGGGAAACUGGGUCUAAUUCCCGAUAGGACUGCAGGGUGGUGCCUGUGGUGGAAAACGAUUUUCUAGUGGUUGGGGAUGAGCUCGCGGCCUAUCAGCUUGUUGGUGGGGUAAUGGCCUACCAAGGCGGCGACGGGUAGCCGGCCUGAGAGGGUGGACGGCCACAUUGGGACUGAGAUACGGCCCAGACUCCUACGGGAGGCAGCAGUGGGGAAUAUUGCACAAUGGGCGGAAGCCUGAUGCAGCGACGCCGCGUGGGGGAUGACGGCCUUCGGGUUGUAAACUCCUUUCGACCGCGAGGAAGCCACCUGGUUGGAAGGGUGGUGACGGUAGUGGUAGAAGAAGCACCGGCUAACUACGUG